CCCUUUGGGUGUGACUGCGUACCUUUUGUAUAAUGGGUCAGCGACUUAUAUUCUGUAGCAAGGUUAACCGAAUAGGGGAGCCGGAGGGAAACCGAGUCUUAACCGGGCGUUAAGUUGCAGGGUAUAGACCCGAAACCCGGUGAUCUAGCCAUGGGCAGGUUGAAGGUUGGGUAACACUAACUGGAGGACCGAACCGACUAAUGUUGAAAAAUUAGCGGAUGACCUGUGGCUGGGGGUGAAAGGCCAAUCAAACCGGGAGAUAGCUGGUUCUCCCCGAAAGCUAUUUAGGUAGCGCCUCGUGAAUUCAUCUCCGGGGGUAGAGCACUGUUUCGGCUAGGGGGCCAUCCCGGCUUACCAACCCGAUGCAAACUGCGAAUACCGGAGAAUGUUAUCACGGGAGACACACGGCGGGUGCUAACGUCCGUCGUGAAGAGGGAAACAACCCAGACCGCCAGCUAAGGUCCCAAAGUCAUGGUUAAGUGGGAAACGAUGUGGGAAGGCCCAGACAGCCAGGAUGUUGGCUUAGAAGCAGCCAUCAUUUAAAGAAAGCGUAAUAGCUCACUGGUCGAGUCGGCCUGCGCGGAAGAUGUAACGGGGCUAAACCAUGCACCGAAGCUGCGGCAGCGACACUGU
rnacentral:rRNA from 1 species